GGCUCGUUAGCUCAGCGGUUAGAGCACCCAUUUAAUUUAUAAUAGUGGUGGUCGGGGGUUCAAAUCCCUCACGAGUCG
rnacentral:tRNA from 1 species